rnacentral:misc_RNA from 1 species
UGAGGUAGCACUUCAUGUUUUUUAUGUAGUUUAUAUGACUGAGACUUGCAACAUUCUUCUUCAGAUUUUUUGUUUGCAAUAAUGUCGAUACAAAUUUGUUCAUAGACACAGGAAUGGAAUAUAUGAGAAUGUUCAUUUGAUAAAAAAGUUUAUGAACAUGUAUAAUUUUCUUAGAACAAUGUUAAAAUAUUCGUUCUUCAGUCUUCACUGAUGUUCAUCCUAAAAUAAUCGUCCAUUUUUUAGAUUGACCAAGUCGGACUUCCG